rnacentral:rRNA from 1 species
UACGUAGGGUGCAAGCGUUAAUCGGAAUUACUGGGCGUAAAGCGUGCGCAGGCGGUUUUGUAAGUCUGUCGUGAAAUCCCCGGGCUUAACCUGGGAAUUGCGAUGGAGACUGCAAGGCCAGAAUCUGGCAGAGGGGGGUAGAAUUCCACGUGUAGCAGUGAAAUGCGUAGAGAUGUGGAGGAACACCGAUGGCGAAGGCAGCCCCCUGGGUCAAGAUUGACGCUCAUGCACGAAAGCGUGGGGAGCAAACAGG